CCUACGGGAGGCAGCAGUGGGGAAUAUUGGACAAUGGGCGAAAGCCUGAUCCAGCAAUGCCGCGUGAGUGAAGAAGGCCUUCGGGUUGUAAAGCUCUUUUACCCGGGAAGAUAAUGACUGUACCGGGAGAAUAAGCCCCGGCUAACUCCGUGCCAGCAGCCGCGGUAAUACGGAGGGGGCUAGCGUUGUUCGGAAUUACUGGGCGUAAAGCGUACGUAGGCGGCUUUGUAAGUCAGAGGUGAAAGCCCACGACUCAAUCGUGGAACUGCCUUUGAGACUGCUUCGCUUGAAGAUGGGAGAGGUUAGUGGAAUUCCGAGUGUAGAGGUGAAAUUCGUAGAUAUUCGGAAGAACACCAGUGGCGAAGGCGGCUAACUGGACCAUUCUUGACGCUGAGGUACGAAAGCGUGGGAGCAAACAGGAUUAGAUACCCUGGUAGUCCACGCCGUAAACGAUGAUAACUAGCUGUCGGGGCUCUUGGAGCUUCGGUGGCGCGAGCUACGACAUUAAGUUAUCCGUCCGUCGGGUAGGUACGGUCCGGCGAACGGUUAAACGUAACAACUAGAAGUUAGUACGGACGUGAGACGUACGCCGAACGACGACCGACGAGGGAGUAGG
rnacentral:rRNA from 1 species